rnacentral:rRNA from 1 species
AGGAAUAUUGGUCAAUGGGCGCGAGCCUGAACCAGCCAAGUAGCGUGAAGGAUGAAGGUCCUACGGAUUGUAAACUUCUUUUAUACGGGAAUAAAGUGGUCCACGUGUGGAUUUUUGCAUGUACCGUAUGAAUAAGCAUCGGCUAACUCCGUGCCAGCAGCCGCGGUAAUACGGAGGAUGCGAGCGUUAUCCGGAUUUAUUGGGUUUAAAGGGAGCGCAGACGGGGGAUUAAGUCAGUUGUGAAAGUUUGCGGCUCAACCGUAAAAUUGCAGUUGAUACUGGUUCCCUUGAGUGCAGUUGAGGCAGGCGGAAUUCGUGGUGUAGCGGUGAAAUGCAUAGAUAUCACGAAGAACCCCGAUUGCGAAGGCAGCCUGCUAAGCUGUAACUGACGUUGAGGCUCGAAAGUGUGGGUAUCAAACAGGAUUAGAUACCCUGGUAGUCCACACGGUAAACGAUGGAUACUCGCUGUUGGCGAUAUACUGUCAGCGGCCAAGCGAAAGCAUUAAGUAUCCCACCUGGGGAGUACGCCGGCAACGGUGAAACUCAAAGGAAUUGACGGGGGCCCGCACAAGCGGAGGAACAUGUGGUUUAAUUCGAUGAUACGCGAGGAACCUUACCCGGGCUUAAAUUGCAGACGAAUUACUUGGAAACAGGUAAGCCGCAAGGCGUCUGUGAAGGUGCUGCAUGGUUGUCGUCAGCUCGUGCCGUGAGGUGUCGGCUUAAGUGCCAUAACGAGCGCAACCCUCGUGGCCAGUUACUAGCAGGUAACGCUGAGGACUCUGGCCAGACUGCCAUCGCAAGAUGCGAGGAAGGUGGGGAUGACGUCAAAUCAGCGCGGCCCUUACGUCCGGGGCUACACACGUGUUACAAUGGGGGGUACAGAGGGCUGCUACCACGCAAGUGGAUGCCAAUCCCAAAAACCUCUCUCAGUUCGGACUGGAGUCUGCAACCCGACUUCAUGAAGCUGGAUUCGCUAGUAAUCGCGCAUCAGCCACGGCGCGGUGAAUACGUUCCCG